rnacentral:rRNA from 1 species
ACGAACAGUUGGAAACGAACUGCUAAUACCGCAUACGAUCUAACCUUGGCAUCGAGGAUGGAUGAAAGGUGGCCUCUAUUUAUAAGCUAUCACUGAAGGAGGGGGAUUGCGUCUGAUUAGCUAGUUGGAGGGGGUAACGGGCCCACCAAGGCGAUGAUCAGUAGCCGGUCUGAGAGGAUGAACGGCCACAUUGGGACUGAGACACGGCCCAGACUCCUACGGGAGGCAGCAUG